GUCAGCGGUGACAGCACGAUCAAUGCAUCACUUCCCAAUACAGCACUGAAGUUAAGCAACGUUGCGCGGUUUUAGCAUCCGGAUGGGUGACCAUAUGGGCAAUCCUGUGCUGUGGCUU
rfam:Asian citrus Psyllid, Diaphorina citri - Florida Strain, whole genome shotgun sequence.